GCGGGCAUGAUGUAGUGGUAGCCUGGCAGCUUCCCAAGCUGCUCGUGCGGGUUCGAUCCCGCUGCCCGCUCCA
rnacentral:tRNA from 1 species